UGAAGAAGGCCUUCGGGUUGUAAAGCUCUUUUGUCAGGGAAGAAACGGUGGGAGCUAAUAUCUCCUGCUAAUGACGGUACCUGAAGAAUAAGCACCGGCUAACUACGUGCCAGCAGCCGCGGUAAUACGUAGGGUGCAAGCGUUAAUCGGAAUUACUGGGCGUAAAGCGUGCGCAGGCGGUUUUGUAAGUCUGAUGUGAAAUCCCCGGGCUCAACCUGGGAAUUGCAUUGGAGACUGCAAGGCUAGAAUCUGGCAGAGGGGGGUAGAAUUCCACGUGUAGCAGUGAAAUGCGUAGAGAUGUGGAGGAAUACCGAUGGCGAAGGCAGCCAUCUGGCCUAAUACUGACGCUGAGGUACGAAAGCAUGGGGAGCAAACAGGAUUAGAUACCCUGGUAGUCCAUGCCGUAAGCGAUGAGUGUUCGUCCUUGGUCUGCCUGCCUACUAGGUAGGAUUAGGAUCAGGGGCCCAGCUAACGCGUGAAACACUCCGCCUGGGGAGUACGGUCGCAAGACUGAAACUCAAAGGAAUUGACGGGGGCCUGCACAAGCGGUGGAGCAUGUGGUUUAAUUCGAUGCAAC
rnacentral:rRNA from 1 species